GACGAACGCUGGCGGCGCGCUUAACACAUGCAAGUCGAACGGAAAGGCCUUGCUUUUGUGGGGUGUUCGAGUGGCGAACGGGUGAGUAACACGUGAGUAACCUGCCUUUGAUUUCGGGAUAAUUUCUGGAAACUGGGGCUAAUACCGGAUAUGCGCUCCUGCUGCAUGGGGGGGGUUGGAAAGUUUCGGCGGUUGGGGAUGGACUCGCGGCUUAUCAGCCUGUUGGUGGGGUAGUGGCUUACCAAGGCUUUGACGGGUAGCCGGCCUGAGAGGGUGACCGGCCACAUUGGGACUGAGAUGCGGCCCAGAAUCCUACGGGAGGCAGCAGUGGGGAAUGUUGCACAAUGGGCGGGAGCCUGAUGCGGCAACGCCGCGUGCGGGAUGACGGCCUUCGGGUUGUAAACCGCUUUCGCCUGUGACGAAGCGUGGGUGACGGUAAUGGGUAAAGAAGCACCGGCUAACUACGUG
rnacentral:rRNA from 1 species